rnacentral:rRNA from 1 species
AAAUUGAAGAGUUUGAUCAUGGCUCAGAUUGAACGCUGGCGGCAGGCCUAACACAUGCAAGUCGAACGGUAACAGGAAGAAGCUUGCUUCUUUGCUGACGAGUGGCGGACGGGUGAGUAAUGUCUGGGAAACUGCCUGAUGGAGGGGGAUAACUACUGGAAACGGUAGCUAAUACCGCAUAACGUCGCAAGACCAAAGAGGG